AUUGAACGCUGGCGGCAGGCCUAACACAUGCAAGUCGAGCGGUAACACAGAGGAGCUUGCUCCUUGGGUGACGAGCGGUGGACGGGUGAGUAAUGCCUGGGGAUCUGCCCAGUCGAGGGGGAUAACUACUGGAAACGGUAGCUAAUACCGCAUACGCCCUACGGGGGAAAGCAGGGGACCUUCGGGCCUUGCGCGAUUGGAUGAACCCAGGUGGGAUUAGCUAGUUGGUGAGGUAAUGGCUCACCAAGGCGACGAUCCCUAGCUGGUCUGAGAGGAUGAUCAGCCACACUGGAACUGAGACACGGUCCAGACUCCUACGGGAGGCAGCAGUGGGGAAUAUUGCACAAUGGGGGAAACCCUGAUGCAGCCAUGCCGCGUGUGUGAAGAAGGCCUUCGGGUUGUAAAGCACUUUCAGCGAGGAGGAAAGGUUGGUAGCUAAUAACUGCCAGCUGUGACGUUACUCGCAGAAGAAGCACCGGCUAACUCCGUGCCAGCCGCCGCUG
rnacentral:rRNA from 1 species